GAUGAACGCUGGCGGCGUGCCUAAUACAUGCAAGUCGAGCGAACAGACGAGGAGCUUGCUCCUCUGACGUUAGCGGCGGACGGGUGAGUAACACGUGGAUAACCUACCUAUAAGACUGGGAUAACUUCGGGAAACCGGAGCUAAUACCGGAUAAUAUAUUGAACCGCAUGGUUCAAUAGUGAAAGACGGUUUUGCUGUCACUUAUAGAUGGAUCCGCGCCGCAUUAGCUAGUUGGUAAGGUAACGGCUUACCAAGGCAACGAUGCGUAGCCGACCUGAGAGGGUGAUCGGCCACACUGGAACUGAGACACGGUCCAGACUCCUACUGGAGGCAGCAGUAGGGAAUCUUCCGCAAUGGGCGAAAGCUUGACGGAGCAACGCCGCGUGAGUGAUGAAGGUCUUCGGAUCGUAAAACUCUGUUAUUAGGGAAGAACAAAUGUGUAAGUAACUAUGCACGUCUUGACGGUACCUAAUCAGAAAGCCACGGCUAACUACGUG
rnacentral:rRNA from 1 species